rnacentral:lncRNA from 1 species
CAGCUUUCUACCAUGUGAGGAUACAAUGAGAAAACAGCUGUCUGCAACCCGAAAGAAGGCCCUUACCAGGACAUGAUCAUGCCAGCACCCUGAUGUCUGACUUCCAGCCUCUAGAACUACUUCAAAUUCUUAGACUAUAACAUCUGGACGUGAUUUGACAUGAAGUCCUGAACAUAGCCCAGCUGGAUAAGAAAUGCAUCGAAGAUAUUAAUCAGCUCAUAGCACAGAGGUUGUGGAUUUUCAAACCAAUCCCCUGUGGAUAACAACUGUCGCAGAGUAAGACCAUUUAAAGGGACCAAAAAUGGAUGAACAUACUUGGCACUAUGAACUAAAAGAUCUUUGGCUAAAGAAGAGAUGAAGACUCAUUCAACUCCUACAAGUGAAUUAAGGAGCUCUGAGAAGGCAAAGCCAGCCCAGGAGGGUGGACACACUAAGAACAAUGUGCCUUGUCCUGAUACACAGUUGUGGUAUAGGUAACAAAAUCUGAGUAUCCAACCUAAGAUGUUACCCCUCACCUCACCAGAAUACCUCCAAUCCCUUCCCUGGAAACACAGAAUAAAUUCCUAUAGAAAGUUAUAAAGCAGAAAAACAAGGUAUCUUUUGUGGAGUAAAGAAUGAUUAUGGAGGAAAAACACCAUUAACUGUCACAGAAAUAAUUGUGUCAUUCAGCAGAAUGGUAGCUCUAAGGAAGACAGCAGCAAUACUCAAGGUACAGCCAUUCUUCUGGAACAAGUCCCACCAAUCUGAAGCUGGAGUCAAUGGUGGUGACAGUGGUGACAUUGCAGAAAAGUAAGAAAGUUGAGGGAGGGAUUCAGGAGAAACAUGGCUGUUGGAAUUAGACACUCAAGAUCUAAACUAAAUGGGAUUAGUAAUGAUAAAAGGAUAAAUGGUUGAUUUCUCCCAUCACCACUUUGCCUGGAAAUAUUGAAAAGCAGGAACCCAGUGGUAUGGUUGACUUCUCUAGAGCUACUGACAAUAAAAUGGGCUGCAACAACCACCACACACACACACACAAAAAAAUCCCAGUGGGAUUCUUGUUAAUAGGGACAUUUAGGAAAGGGUGGGAUGCUCACUCACCCAGGUUAUUGCAGAAAACAUCCUGCUUUGACUGAGAAAUUGUGGAGGAUGCCUAAGGUCACUUCUGACAUCUAUGGAACUGUAAAGUCUGUUUCCCGUGGGGUAUAGUUUUGUCAUAUUGUGACUAUGUAUUUGUGUAUGUAUUGUGUAUGUAUAUUUGUCUUCCUAUUAGCCAAUGCUCUGUCAACCCACGGUUGUUUUGAGAAUCAAAGAGAUAACAUGCAGGAGGAUGAAAUGGGAACAGAUUAACACAAGAUGCUCACACUGCCUAGUAAUCAUAGCUUUCUCCCUAUUUCUGUCCCUGUCAUCGGGCACAGCUAUUCUAUUAAAUAGCUG